UUUGUGGCUAUAGAGUGGCGUUUUGGUGGAGCGUGUGACUGUGUAUUGCUAUCGUGCAGUCAUUGCUAAAGUUGGUAUAACUAGAGAAGCAAGCCGUUGUCAACAUUCAUCUCUGAAGGGGAUGUCUUACUCAGUGUUGCUGUGUAUUUGACCCUAAAUUAAUUUUACGCCAGAAUAUCCCUUUAAAGACAGUUUUAAAAUGCCAAUAGUUUUUUCCCUCAUUGCGAUUAAUUGUGAUUAACCUUAACAAUUAUACGAUUAGUCGCGGUUUCAUUAUUCGUUUGAUCGCCCUCCUUAGAAUAAAAAUGUUCUUUUUAGCCACGACUGAACAAAGAAAGAAUUUCAGACUCAAAAAUUAAAAUCUCAAAGACAGAAAAAAGGUAAAUUUAAUGUUUCUUUCACUCGGAGCUGCAGAGCCGCUUCGCCUCACCACAACCCUCUGAAGCAGCUGCUGCAUCUCUAUCUGCAGGUGACACCAGCCUCCCGCUGCAUGAAUAAACACAGAGGAGGAAUCAUCCUGAAUGUUGCCUCUGGCUCUCUCUCUCUCUCUCUCUCUCUCUCUCUCUCUCUCUCUCUCUCUCUCUCUCUCUCUCUGUUUCUUGUAUUAAUUUGCGCAGAAGCUUCUUUUGAAGGAACAUGUUUAAAUCUUAAACCCUGUUGAAGCUUCACAAUGUGAGGGGAUGGAAGUCAACUUGUGGUCGUUGAAGCGAGUCGGAGUCUGCAGCUCUCUCUCUCUCUCUCUCUCUCUCUCUCUCUCUCUCUCUCUCUCUCUCAUUGAGGAAUCCGUUAUCGCCCCUCUCUCUCUCUCUCUCUGCGCUCUGCUCUCCGCUGUGGAAACUUUCCUUAAAAAAAACCUCAAACUAACAACAAAAUUUCACUCAGUUUGCUCUUAUUUUUCCUGGAUCUAUACCCGGACUUGCCGUUUUUCCGUUUUCACGUUGGUUCAUGACGCGUCUGGUCGCACCCCGGACCGAUACGGACACCAGAGCGUGCUCGACGCGUCCGCGCUUUAAGUGAGAGACAGUCUGGCUCCGGCUGGUUCUGACGCGCACCGAACCUGACUGUCCGUUUUUUCCUCCUCUCCUUUAGUUUACGGCUGAAGACAGACCAGGAGCGGGAGGGUCUUUGAGCAGAGGACACGGACUCUGGGAGGAGGAUGUAUCUGUAAAAGAAGAAGAAGAAGAGGGACAUCUCAAAGAGAGAGGGAGUAUCGGAUGUCUCCACUGGUGAGUGAACCUGCUUCAGUCUUAAAAUGAGGAGAAAUUGGUGCGCUUUUGUUCGUCUGAAGAGAGGUCGGAGCUCUUGUUGCGGUGAUUUGCGGAGGAUUUGAAAGUUGGUAACAGCCUAAAAAGACGCACGGGUGAAACUUUGAGGGAAUGCAGUUUGGAGGAGUCAAAUUAAAAUAUGAUGGAUUGAUGAGGUUUGGGCGGGCUUGGAGUUGCAGUAGCAGCAUGUGUGUGCAGCCUCACUGUGCCAAAUAUGAAUGUGAAAAAUGAGCGAUGUGUCUCAUUUCUGCGCAUGGAGCGGUUUGGUGUUAUUUGGAAACGCGUUUUUACGCAUCCGAGCGUCUGGAGCGCCGUAAAAACGCAACAAUAAAGUGAUUGUAGGUUCCAAAAACUGCUUCCUCUCCAUUGAGCUGAGCGCUAUAAUUGCAUAUUAUUCAUGUCAUGUGUUGAAAAUGUUCAGUCUUGAUAAAUAAGCCGUCUACAAUCAGAGAGAAUCUGCAAAUUUUGCGCUAAAGCAAUCCUGUUUUCCAUCUGUGGAACAAGCGCCUCAGUUUCAGGUGUUCAGACUCGGUUUAAUGUCUUGAAAAUCUGCUGCAGAUGUCUUCGGAGGUGUGUUCAGCUUCUGUUUUCUGCUGCUUUCAUUCAGAGAGGGUGUGGCUGCUGCUCGCAUGUCCAUCCCUGCGCCUCAUCCUCGCUCUGUGAAGGAUUCAGCUGCACCAAACUGAAUUAAUUCACCCGGUGCUGCGCUUGAGUGUGAUUGUGCGAAGUCCCUUUGUGUGUGUGUGCUAAUCCACCGACCUCAGAAAGGAGGAUUAAAGCGCGUGGGACAUUUUUUUGGGGACUGCCCUUUUCCCCUCCUCGCUCUCUCCUCCGCCUUUCAGUAACACAAUCUGAGAUAGUGGACAUCGAUUCCUUCAGUUACACACAUGAGGCAGAGCCACAAGUGCAACAUUUGGCGGAGGCGUGUGUCCAAAGCGCAUGGAUGAGCCUGGAGUGCGGGUAUUUUUAGUAGACAAGGCUGGCUGGUCCCGCUGAUGGGAUGUCAAACUGUGACAUGUGUCAGCUCGGAGGCUUUGCAGCCGAGUAAUUAGCGUGUUAUCAAACUGUUACUGUAACACGAGGGCGGGAGGGUUCGGGGCAGUUUAGACGUUAAACUUUGAUUUAUUCAGGUUUCAAAACAGGAAGUCCAAGAGCAACAUCUGACUGCUGAAUAUUCAGUUAUGAAUCAUAGCAGAAUUUCACAACCAAAACUACAAACCUUAGUAGGAAAAUGAUCUCAAUAAACACGACGAAUUUAACGGAAACCCCCGAAAAAUCUGUUCAAUUAAAGCGAAGAAAGUUUAACAACAUCUCACCAUCUUCUUUUGUGUGUGAUUACAUUUGUCAAGAAACAGAGGUGGGGGAAAGUCCCUAUGUUGCAAGUCCAAGUCGAGUCUCAAGUCUUGGCUCUCAAGUCCAAGGCAAGUCCAAGUCAACACAGACAAGUCCCAAGUCAAGUCCAAGUCCUUUGCUCUCAAGUCUCGUGUCAAGUCCAAGUCAACACAGACAAGUCCCAAGUCAAGUCCAAGUCCUUUGCUCUCAAGUCUCGUGUCAAGUCCAAGUCAACACAGACAAGUCCAAGUCCUGAACUUUUUGUUUCGAGUCCCAACCAAGUCCUAGGAAUUUUGCUUCGAGUCCCAACCAAGUCCUUACC
rnacentral:lncRNA from 1 species